AAUACAUUAUGAUGUGUAAUAUUAUGAAAAACAAAAUAUGUUGACAUGGAAAGAAAUACAAUUCUUAAUAGGGCCGCCGUAUUUUGUUCCCCGUUAUCGAGAAAAACGGUUCAUAUUUAUAAAAUGCACUCAUUGCACUGACAAAAUCGGCGGUGCAGAAAAUGCGCACGAGUGUUGUCAGUGCAAUUAAAUCGAAUACAAAACACCGCACCAGUUCACUGAAUAUUGGUCAAAUCGAAUACGUUUUUGCACUUAGUGCGAACCGAGUGCAAAAAGUGCGUCAAAUCGAAAACGCUAUAAAAAACACACUACUCUUCGUGUGAAAAAUCCUAUGGAUAAAUGGAAUAUGAAUCAAUCGGUAGUUAUUAUCGUGUGUCGUUCAGGCCUUUGUGUAAUCUUAUCUCAUCAAAAUAAUACAUUUAUGAAGAUAACAUGUGAUAAUACUUAGAGAUUGUGUUUAGUGUUUUGCACUUUACCAAACGGUGGAAAUAGUGUAAUUAUUAAUGAAAUUAAAACAUAAUUAUAAUAAAGUUCGUUUAAAAACGUCGGUGUCAAUGACAAUUAACAAUUUAAAGUAACACCUAUUAGAAAAACGUCAAACUCAUACAAUCACGAAACACAGUUCACAAAGUAAACACACGAAUAUUACAUAUUAAUUUAAAGCAAAAUGUCUUGCAACUAUGCUGAUGGUUUAUCUCCAUAUGAAUAUAAAGGGGAAGUUGGUAUGAAUGAAGUUUUUGAUACUCCUGAAGUUUUGAAACAAAAGAUUUCGCUUCUUGCUGA